GUAGCUCAGCAGUAGAGUGCAUGCCUUGCAAGCUUGAGGCCCUGGGUUCGAUUCCUCAGC
rnacentral:tRNA from 1 species